GUCUACAGCCAUGCCACCCUGAACAAGCCCAAUCCUGUCUGAUCUCAGAAGCUAAAUAGGGUCGGGCCUGGUUAGUACUUGGAUGGGAGACCACCUUAGAAGACCAGGUGCUAUAGGUG
rnacentral:rRNA from 1 species